rnacentral:rRNA from 1 species
AGUGAACGCUGGCGGUAGGCCUAACACAUGCAAGUCGAACGGCAGCACAGUAAGAGCUUGCUCUUACGGGUGGCGAGUGGCGGACGGGUGAGGAAUACAUCGGAAUCUACUUUUUCGUGGGGGAUAACGUAGGGAAACUUACGCUAAUACCGCAUACGACCUACGGGUGAAAGCAGGGGAUCUUCGGACCUUGCGCGAUUGAAUGAGCCGAUGUCGGAUUAGCUAGUUGGCGGGGUAAAGGCCCACCAAGGCGACGAUCCGUAGCUGGUCUGAGAGGAUGACCACCCACACUGGAACUGAGACCCGGCCCAGGCCCCUACGGGGGGCCGGAGGGGGGAAUUUUGGCCAAGGGGCCAAACCCUGCCCCCCCCAUCCCGCGUGGGUGAAAAAGGCCUUCGGUUUGUAAAGCCCUUUUGUUGGGAAAAAAAAGAAGCAGGUUAAUCCCCCGCUUUUCUGACGGUACCCAAAGAAUAAGCCCCGGCUAACUGCGU